AUGAGCGCCAAAUCAGGAAGGCAUAUCAAGCACAACAAAAGAAGGAGUCGAGCUCAAGCUCCAGCCAAGCAGCUGCCAAAAAAACGGGAAAACUAUUCCCCAGCUGGGAGAACAGGCGGUGCAAUCGAUCCCCCGCUCAAUGUACCAACACACAUGAGUACCGGCGCGGCUGAUCAUCUGGUAAUAACCGACGAUUAUAGAAGGCAGUCUGCAGAGAUCGGAUGCACUGUAGAACAACUCCUAGAGCUCGAGCCCAUGAACACUUUUACAGAGCAGGAACUAAAACGGAAAUAUGCCCGUGGCGAACCUUUGGUCAAGCCUGAGGAGGUCAAGAAGCUCUAA
rnacentral:rRNA from 1 species